rnacentral:rRNA from 1 species
CCGGACCGGCGCACGGGUGAGUAACACGUAUGCAAUCCACCUGUAACAGGGGAUAACCCGGAGAAAUCCGGACUAAUACCCCAUAAUAUGGGCUCUCCGCAUGGAGGGUCCAUUAAAGAGAGCAAUUUUGGUUACAGACGAGCAUGCGCUCCAUUAGCCAGUUGGCGGGGUAACGGCCCACCAAAGCGACGAUGGAUAGGGGUUCUGAGAGGAAGGUCCCCCACAUUGGAACUGAGACACGGUCCAA